UGUCUGCCACGGACUUCCUGUUUGGUAAUUUCCGGUUUUCUCCGUGAGCUGCAGCAAGCAUGGCUGAAUGUGUUGUGUCUUCAGCAUUUAAUCCUGUGCCAUCCGCGAGAAAUUAAGGCGAAGCAAUGCUUUUUCACCCAGCUUAUGAUACGUGGAAGUCGACAGUAAAUGUUCAAUCUUGCUACACGUCUCCCUCUCAUCAAUUUGCUGUGGUUUACCUUGGUGUUUAGUCGGAGUUGUUACACUUUUGAUGAGAACACUACAGUCACUGGUAACUCGGCGGCCUGUUGCUGUACUGCUGCUUUUUCCAAGGGAGGAAACCUCCCUGUGUCCAGAGGUGGUACUUCAGCAUAUCACUUGGCCAGAAACAGAUGACGGAAGUGAUGAAGAUGACGACUGCUCAAAGGAAACCAGAUGCCGCAUUUCAGGAUAUCUGAAACAGUUAAUUGCAAAUGGGCUCCCUGAGGGACACGG